rnacentral:tRNA from 2 species
GCGGGUUUAGCUCAGUUGGGAGAGCGUCAGACUGAAGUCAAACUUCAGGAAGUCAAUCUGAAGGUCGUGUGUUCGAUCCACACAAACCGCA